rnacentral:lncRNA from 1 species
UUUAUUAGAACAUUUCCCAGAUAUAAUAAAAUAGUUUUAAAAAGCCUGACUGAAGUAUUGGCUGAGGAAUACAAUUUGUUUUAACUGAAACUUAUUUAUUGAUUGAAACUGUUAUUAAAAAAGGAUAAUUCCUCGCUAAAACAUUAUAAGAUUAACAUUCAUACUCACAGUCAAGAAACAUAUACUUUGUACUGCUGUGUCACCUUACAUCUUGUCUACAACGCAUUAUGUUUA